GGGGAUGCUGCAACGGUCGUAAGUGUGAAAAAUGUGAAUAGCCCUUAGACUUUUAUUCUGCUUCACAGUGUUUUUACAGCCCUCUCUAAGCGGUUUACACAGUCAGCCUAUUGCCCCCAACAAUCUGGGUCCUCAUUUUACCCACCUUGGAAGGAUGGA